CAGACAAAUUUUGUUAGCCAUUUUAUGUAAUUCAUCCAUUUGUCACUUGACGGCCGUUAUAAUCUCAAUCUUUUCUUGAGAGGCAUGUGAAGUAUGUGCAUGCACAGGAAUGUAUCCAUGGAUUACAGAAGUUCAAGAAUACAAUGCUAAUCACUUUCUAGAAUCCUUCAUGGUUUUCCUUCAGAAUCUUAGCACAAGCUUGCAUUGAUACACUACUGGGUUUUCUAUAGACAUUAUCUUUAUUUGGUCUCACCUGUUUUUACCUUUAGCACAGUUGUAGACUUAGAUAAGAAUGCAUUUAUACAAUUACAAACAUUGCAUUUAACUUUUUUUCCAGGAUGGGGGUUGGAGGCUUAAUAGACCACUGAAUGCUAGGGAUUGACACCCAUUUUGUAUAGCAGUUAGUGUGGCUUUAGAUUUACAAAGAUAAAAGGAUAAUGGAUCUUAUUCGAUAAGAAAAUGCAUUUAAAUGAAGGGAUCUAUAAUCCAACGACUUGGUGGUAUGAAGAAGGGUAUAAAAUGAAGGGGAACUAUGAUAGAAGGGUCUUAAAUAAAAGAAGAGUCUAAAACACAAUGUAAAAUAGGGUGUUGUUAGGGACAGGGUCACACAAGGUGUACAAGUAUGCAGAUUGAGAGUAGGUAGUGGGUGGAAAGUGAAGGGAGCAGGUGUAGAGAUGGAAAUAGUGGUGCACCUGGUGCUGAGAUAUUGGAACAUUUAAUGAGAUAAGAGUGAUUAAAUGAAGGAAGGGUAGCAGAACCGAUAUAGGAUGUAUGGAGUAAUACAUGAGGGGCGGCCGCUGGGACACACCACUAUAAAAAGCAACACGGAUAGGUUUUUAUUCCUAACGCUAUAGUGUUUCAUUUAAACAAGAGUCUAAGGAGACCGAGAACUUUGAAUACUGAUCAAGAACCUUUCCAUGAGUGCUGGGCUGAAAAAUUAGAAUCCUAAGGACUGGUUUGACUGUAAUAGACUUUCAUUAGCUUUCCACUUGUCAUCCACUAUGCAUGAAUCAACAUUAAUUGUCAGCAGAUAAGAGGCUGUCUUUACAGGCCAAAUUUCCUAAGGUCUUUCCUUUUUGCCCUAAGAAAUGUAACGCCUGGAAUUAAGUUCCAAAGAGUGAUGAGAACAGAAAACCCAGGCUUCCAAAAGAAAGCAAGAUAUUCCUUAGGCAUGAACCUAUAGCAAGGUAAGACUUUACUUAGGUCAGUCUCCAGCUACAAGUAGACAAUAUGGAAGGGUAUAAGCUGAGCUCAUCUUGUACAUGCCCUUAAAAGGGAUACUAUAGGCAUAAAAAUAAAUUUACCUUAAUAAAGCAGGUUUGGUGUAUAGAUCAUGCCCCUGGUAAUGUACAAUUCUGUCAUUUAUGAGUUAAUGGCUGUAAAUGACAUAGCUUGCAUGAGAGAAAACCAGGUAUAAUGUUUUUAAUUUAGAUGUUAACUUAUUUGCUCUGUAAAUUGAACUUUAAAUCACACACAGAACACUUCUGUGGGGUCUAGCAGGCUAUUAACAGAGCAGGAGCUCAAUUGUCAAAUAAACAGACUGUGCAAUAAAGUAAGUAUAAACAUUAGACAACUCUUUACAGGAAAUGUUUAGGAAGGCUGUGUAAGUCACAUGCAGAGAGGUGUUCCCAGGGCUGCAUAAACAACGUGAUUUAACUCUUAAAUGGCAGAUAAUUGAGCAGUGAGACUACAUGGACAUGAUCUGUACACCAAAAUCACUCCAUUAAGCUAAAGUUGUUCUAGUGCCUUUAGUGUCCAUUUUAGGAGUUUAGAUUAGCUGCAGAUCUUGGUCCUUAGUCCUGUAAGCUCUUGAAAGCAUCAGGGCUCACUCCAUGACAAGAAUUGUGGCUUCUUUUAAGAGGACCCAGAAUAUUAAUAAUAGAAUAUUUACAGGCUGGCAGCUUAGUCCUCUCGUUAAACCUAUCACUACAUGCUGGACAUGGCAUCAUCUGCAGAAUCUUGUUUUGGAUGAAGCGUUCUAGUGGAUGUUAUCUUAAGCAAUGAAAAAAUAUUUUGCAGUGUUGGUCUUUAAGUUUGUGUCCCUCCCUUUUUCCCCCCCUUACUGCUUUGCUAUUACACAUUAGUAAUGCUGCUAUGGUUAACCAGGAAAAAUGAAAAUGUAUUCCAUAUUUAAUGUAAUUCUUUUCUCCAUGGCAGUAUCAGGCUUCCUCCCUUAAGGGUUCAGCUAGCUUUCCUUUCAGUUAAACUAUGAGUUCUGGGGGCAGGGGACUUCUAUAAUCUUUGAUCAGCAGGUUGUUAUUUUUGUUCUGCCAGUUUGGGCGGGGGUAAUGCAGAAUACAAAAUAACAGCACUCCCCCCAAAUCUAUAGAAUUGCUCAUACACAAAAUGCUGCAUAUUGGAACUCAACUGUGUCAAGGUUAUUUGAGGUGAAUUCAAUGUGAAUUUUAAAUUAAAGGUAAUAAUAGCCAAACUAAAAAAAUUCUCUUAAGUCAGUUAUACUUUCUAUUCAGGUAAGUUGACCUCAAGUUUGAAAUUCACUUUGAAUUCUCACUUUAGUGAAUAGCCCUGUAUAAAAUCCAUUAAAGCACUACAAUGAGUCAGUUAUAUCCACUCCUUAAAGGACCACUAUAGGCACCCAG
rnacentral:lncRNA from 1 species